CAGUCGCCGCGGUAAUACGGAAGGUUCAGGCGUUAUCCGGAUUUAUUGGGUUUAAAGGGAGCGUAGGCCGGAGAUUAAGUGUGUUGUGAAAUGUAGACGCUCAACGUCUGACUUGCGGCGCAUACUGGUUUCCUUGAGUACGCACAACGUUGGCGGAAUUCGUCGUGUAGCGGUGAAAUGCUUAGAUAUGACGAAGAACUCCGAUUGCGAAGGCAGCUGACGGGAGCGCAACUGACGCUUAAGCUCGAAGGUGCGGGUAUCAAACAGGAUUAGAUACCCCAGUAGUCCCUGUCUCUUAUAC
rnacentral:rRNA from 1 species